UCCAGACUCCUACGGGAGGCAGCAGUGGGGAAUAUUGCACAAUGGGGGAAACCCUGAUGCAGCGACGCCGCGUGAGCGAAGAAGUAUUUCGGUAUGUAAAGCUCUAUCAGCAGGGAGGAAAAAAAUGACGGUACCUGAGUAAGAAGCACCGGCUAAAUACGUGCCAGCAGCCGCGGUAAUACGUAUGGUGCAAGCGUUAUCCGGAUUUACUGGGUGUAAAGGGAGCGUAGGCGGCGCGUUAAGUCUGAUGUGAAAACCCGAGGCUCAACCACGGGAGUGCAUUGGAAACUGGCGGGCUGGAGUGCCGGAGAGGUAAGCGGAAUUCCUAGUGUAGCGGUGAAAUGCGUAGAUAUUAGGAGGAACACCAGUGGCGAAGGCGGCUUACUGGACGGCAACUGACGCUGAGGCUCGAAAGCGUGGGGAGCAAACAGGAUUAGAUACCCCAGUA
rnacentral:rRNA from 1 species